CUAACAUAACCUAACUUUAUGCUUUCGCCGUAAAGCCUCUUUGAAAUCGGACAAUGUGGUUGGAUUUAAGAGAUGUUUAUCUUUCAAAUGGUGAGAAAUAGUUGAUUGUUUGAGAAAUUGAAAUUAUUAGAUUCUUGCAGUUUUGAAUUUCCCGCCAUGGUCUCUUGACAAUGAAUCCCAUUACCGGGCAGGGAUCCCCAAGAGGAUAAACAUUUAAAAGGUCAUCUUCAAUGGGGCAGGGAUGUCCCAAGGAUCCCGGACUCUUCUUCUUGUAACUUUCUGGCGGACUAGAUGCUUUCCGGCUUAAUGCUGCCAUCCACAGGUGUUGCAAGUGCCAUGCUCUACCAACUGAGCCACACAAAUAUCAGUAGGUUACUAAUAAAUAGAUCUUACCUCAGCUUCACCUCGCCCAAAACUUCAACGGACGGUAAGCAGGGCAACUCAUCCUCAUCUUUGCUAUAAUUGGGGCCCGUCUCCAUUUCUUCCUUCUCUAAUCCUCUGAUGGUGUGGUCAUCCUUUUAUGUGUUAUAAACAGACUGGUGCCUUGCAAUUGUGUGCUCUGCAAUUGUGUGCUUAUUGUAUUUAAAGGAGUAGUUAAAUAAUAUAACUGGGGUUCUGAGGGGCUAUCCAGCGACCUGCUAGGUCAG
rnacentral:lncRNA from 1 species